rnacentral:snoRNA from 1 species
UUCCCAGUGAGGAAUCCAAGACCUACUGAUAGGAAGUGCCGUAUGACACUGUAAACAGCAGCUUCUUUACUCCUUUGCAAAUGUCCAUCCUUCGACCAUAACCUUGGUGGUUUGGUCUGGGAUGGAGUACCCAUUUGCUUUGGUUUAAUUAAGCUGUGUGCGUGAUUUUAAAUGGGUCGCUGAGGGAU